AUGAUUGUAUGGGGAGAGCGCGCAUUAGGCGCCGCCGAAGGAGCAAGUAACAAAUGUUAUGAAUCUCUCAGGUAACAAAACGCAUACAUGACG
rnacentral:ncRNA from 2 species